GUGCUCACUUUGGCAGCACAAAUACUACAUUUAGAAUGAUACAGAGAAGAUUAGCGUGGUCCCUGUGCAAGGAAGAUAUGCAAAUUUGUGAAGCGCUCCAUAUUUUU
ensembl:snRNA U6 U6 spliceosomal RNA